rnacentral:rRNA from 1 species
CUCAAUCGAGGAAUGGCUGGGUAUACUGCCGGGCUGGAGGCAGGUAGGGGUGCCUGGAACUCUCGGUGGAGCGGUGAAAUGCGUAGAUAUCGAGAGGAACGCCCGUGGCGAAAGCGGGGCACUGGGCCUGACCUGACGCUGAGACGCGAAAGCGUGGGGAGCAAACGGGAUUAGAUACCCCGGUAGUCCACGCCGUAAACGAUGCGCACUAGGUUUGUUGGUCUCUGACGGCCAGCGGGCCGAAACAAAAGCGUUAAGUGCGCCGCCUGGGGAGUACGGCCGCAAGGCUAAAACUCAAAGGAAUUGACGGGGGCUCACACAAGCGGUGGAGGAUGUGGCUCAAUUCGAAGCAACGCGAAGAACCUUACCUGGGUUUGACAUGCACGGAUUAGCCCUGUGAAAGCAGGGUGACGCGGCUUGCCGUGGAACG